UAGUAACGGCGAGUGAAGCGGCAACAGCUCAAAUUUGAAAUCUGGCCCUCGUGGUCCGAGUUGUAAUUUGUAGAGGAUGCUUUUGGUGAGGUGCCUUCCGAGUUCCCUGGAACGGGACGCCAUAGAGGGUGAGAGCCCCGUCUGGUUGGACACCGAGCCUCUGUAAAGCUCCUUCGACGAGUCGAGUAGUUUGGGAAUGCUGCUCAAAAUGGGAGGUAUAUGUCUUCUAAAGCUAAAUAUUGGCCAGAGACCGAUAGCGCACAAGUAGAGUGAUCGAAAGAUGAAAAGCACUUUGAAAAGAGGGUUAAAUAGUACGUGAAAUUGUUGAAAGGGAAGCGUUUGUGACCAGACUUGGGCUCGGUUAAUCAUCCAGCGUUCUCGCUGGUGCACUUUGCCAGCCCAGGCCAGCAUCAGUUUGCUGCGGGGGAUAAAAGUUUCGGGAAUGUGGCUCCUCGGAGUGUUAUAGCCCGUUGCACAAUACCCUGUGGUGGACUGAGGUUCGCGCAUCUGCAAGGAUGCUGGCGUAAUGGUCAUCAACGACCCGUCUUGAAACACGGACCAAGGAGUCGUCUUCGUAUGCGAGUGUUCGGGUGUCAAACCCCUACGCGUAAUGAAAGUGAACGGAGGUGAGAGCUACGGCGCAUCAUCGACCGAUCCUGAAGUUUUCGGAUGGAUUUGAGUAAGAGCAUACGGGGCCGGACCCGAAAGAAGGUGAACUAUGCCUGUAUAGGGUGAAGCCAGAGGAAACUCUGGUGGAGGCUCGCAGCGGUUCUGACGUGCAAAUCGAUCGUCAAAUAUGGGCAUGGGGGCGAAAGACUAAUCGAACCUUCUAGUAGCUGGUUUCCGCCGAA
rnacentral:rRNA from 1 species